CCAAGACUUUCCGAGAUGCUUUGGUGCCUUCGGGAACUCUGAGACAGGUGCUGCAUGGCUGUCGUCAGCUCGUGUUGUGAAAUGUUGGGUUAAGUCCCGCAACGAGCGCAACCCUUAUCCUUUGUUGCCAGCGGUUCGGCCGGGAACUCAAAGGAGACUGCCAGUGAUAAACUGGAGGAAGGUGGGGAUGACGUCAAGUCAUCAUGGCCCUUACGAGUAGGGCUACACACGUGCUACAAUGGCGCAUACAAAGAGAAGCGACCUCGCGAGAGCAAGCGGACCUCAUAAAGUGCGUCGUAGUCCGGAUUGGAGUCUGCAACUCGACUCCAUGAAGUCGGAAUCGCUAGUAAUCGUAGAUCAGAAUGCUACGGUGAAUACGUUCCCGGGUCUUGUACACACCGA
rnacentral:rRNA from 1 species